rnacentral:rRNA from 1 species
GAAACCCCGGCUAACUCCGUGCCAGCAGCCGCGGUAAUACGGAGGGGUUAGCGUUGUUCGGAAUUACUGGGCGUAAAGCGCGCGUAGGCGGAUUAGUCAGUUAGAGGUGAAAUACCCAGGGCUCAACCCUGGAACUGCCUUUAAUUACUGCUAGUCUUGAGUUCGAGAGAGGUGAGUGGAAUUCCGAGUGUAGAGGUGAAAUUCGUAGAUAUUCGGAGGAACACCAGUGGCGAAGGCGGCUCACUGGCUCGAUACUGACGCUGAGGUGCGAAAGUGUGGGGAGCAAACAGGAUUAGAUACCCUGGUAG